AUAGCGUAUAUUAAAGUUGUUGCAGUUAAAAAGCUCGUAGUUGAAUUUUGGGCCUGGCCAGUCGGUCUGCCUCACCGCAUGUACUGGUUUGGCCGGGCCUUUUCUUCUGGGAACCUUCAUGCCCUUUACUGGGUGUGUCAGGGUACCAGGACUUUUACUUUGAAAAAAUUAGAGUGUUCAAAGCAGGCAUUAGCUCGAAUACAUUAGCAUGGAAUAAUAGAAUAGGACGUGGGGUUCUAUUUUGUUGGUUUCUAGGACCACCGUAAUGAUUAAUAGGGAUAGUCGGGGGCAUCAGUAUUCAAUCGUCAGAGGUGAAAUUCUUGGAUCGAUUGAAGACUAACUACUG
rnacentral:rRNA from 1 species